UACGUAGGGUGCGAGCGUUGUCCGGAAUUACUGGGCGUAAAGAGCUCGUAGGUGGUUUGUCGCGUUGUUCGUGAAAUCUCACGGCUUAACUGUGAGCGUGCGGGCGAUACGGGCAGACUGGAGUACUGCAGGGGAGACUGGAAUUCCUGGUGUAGCGGUGGAAUGCGCAGAUAUCAGGAGGAACACCGGUGGCGAAGGCGGGUCUCUGGGCCGUAACUGACGCUGAGGAGCGAAAGCGUGGGGAGCGAACAGG
rnacentral:rRNA from 1 species